UAACUGCGAGUGAAGCGGCAAAAGCUCAAAUUUGAAAUCUGACGUCACCUGGCGUUCGAAUUGUAAUUUGGAGGGGCAUUUUCGGAGCUGGCGUUGUCCUAAGUUCCUUGGAACAGGACGUCACAGAGGGUGAGAAUCCCGUGCCUGGAUGGCUGUCCAGCUCCAUGUGAGGUGUCUCCGACGAGUCGAGUUGUUUGGGAAUGCAGCUCAAAAUGGGUGGUAAAUUUCAUCUAAAGCUAAAUACUGGCGAGAGACCGAUAGCGCACAAGUAGAGUGAUCGAAAGAUGAAAAGCACUUUGAAAAGAGAGUUAAAAAGUACGUGAAAUUGUUGAAAGGGAAGCGCUUGAGACCAGACUCAACCUUCGGUGAUCAGCUGUGCUUUUGUGCGGUGCACUUGCCGUGGGUUGGGCCAGCAUCGGUUUCGACGGUGGGAUAAAGGUUCGAGGAAUGUGGCUCUCCCGAUUUCGGGGAGUGUUAUAGCCCUGAGCGCAAUGCCACCUGUUGGGACCGAGGACCGCGCUUCCGCUAGGAUGCUGGC
rnacentral:rRNA from 1 species